rfam:Podospora anserina genomic DNA, chromosome 5.
GUCGCUUUGGCGGAGUGGUUAACGCGCGCCCCUGCUAAGGGCGUUCCCUCGGGAGCGUAGGUUCGAAUCCUGCAGGCGACG